rfam:TPA: Bos taurus chromosome 6, whole genome shotgun sequence.
UCCCUGGUAGCUCAGAGGUUAAAGCGUCUGCCUCCAAUGCGGGGGUCCUGGGUUCGAUCCCUGGGUUGGGAA